rnacentral:rRNA from 1 species
CCUACGGGAGGCAGCAGUGGGGAAUAUUGCACAAUGGGCGAAAGCCUGAUGCAGCAACGCCGCGUGAGCGAUGAAGGCCUUCGGGUCGUAAAGCUCUGUUCUCAAGGAAGAUAAUGACGGUACUUGAGGAGGAAGCCCCGGCUAAUUACGUGCCAGCAGCCGCGGCAAUACGUGGGGGGCUAGCGUUAUCCGGAAUUACUGGGCGUAAGGGGUGCGUAGGUGGGUUCUUAAGUCAGAGGGGAAAGGCUACGGCUAAACCGAAGUAAGCCUUUGUAACUGGGGAACUUGAGUACAGGAGAGGAGAGUGGAAUUCCUAGUGUAGCGGUGAAAUGCGUAGAUAUUAGGAAGAACACCAGUUGCGAAGGCGGCUCUCUGGACUGUAACUGACACUGAGGCACGAAAGCGUGGGGAGCAAACAGGAUUAGAUACCCUUGUAGUC